GCUUUCGCAGAGGAUUCGGUCACUUUGAGAGAUGCUGACAUUGCCGACCGAAAGCAAGGAAGCAGUACUUGUUUUGCUUGAGCGGACAUUCACUUUACUCCUCUCAGGACGCAACUUGAGUUCUCUUAUGUUGCCGAGUUGGAGAGUCAGCACACCUCUCUUCAUGCAUCUAAGGAUGGAGCUGUGAGGGGCAAAGGUUCACAAUCUACUCGGGAGCUCCUUCUCUCAGAUGGUUCGCAACCACAGGUGAAAUUCCUAGCAUGAGCAACACUUUGGGGUCUGCUCUACUGGUCCUGUCUCAAGACAGAAUUCCAGAAGUUGCUGAGCGGAAGCUGUAAAGCCUCUGCUACGACGCAACUGUUGAGACUGAUUAAAACCGUGCGUGAAGAACGCAUGAGCGAGUAACUAAGACGUGAAGUUCAGCACAAGCUACGAAGCUGCCGAGUGAAAGGAAACCCCUCAGUACAUGCGCUAAGAGGACGCAGGGUGAUGACGAGUUGGAGGCUUAGCAAGCCCCUCAUGAAUCCUGUCUCCAUGGAUAUGGAGCAAUGACGGGCAGGAAACAUUGUCCAGGAGCUCUCCUACAGUAUGGGUAGCUCCCUUGGGUGCAACUCCCUGCAUGGAUAACAACUCCUGAAUGCUUUGGAGGGAUGGACUGUCGUUUGAACAGUCAUAUGUCCCCUCCAUCUGCUGUUGACUUAGUAUCAGCACACCAGCAAUCACGGUUAAGAGAACAGCGGGCACACGAACCAAACCUGAUCCAGCUUGUUUCGCAUUACUGUCUACGAAGACCGCCAUUGAGCAAAGCGUUUGUGCCCAACCGGCCAAACCGCCAGAGCAAAGAACCAGUCCGAGCCGCAACGAGCCAGAGAGCCACCGGCCGACAACACAACACUGAAACAACGCUGAAAAGCCGCCUGGAGCUGCACGAAGGUGAAACUCCACCAGCCACCAGAGCAGGAGAUGUUGCAGCGCCUGAAACACGUCAAGUAUGACGACAGCGCAAAGGAGAAACUGUGAACUGCAAGAGCAGAAUUUCAGCACCUUCUGAGGACAUGGUCCGGAGCCAUCACGAUAAGAGCCAGAGCCAGAGCCAGAGCCAGAGCCAGAGCCAGAGCCAGAGCCAGAGCCAGAGCCAGAGCCAGAGCCAGAGCCACUCCGCCAUAAGUUGAUCCAAAAGCCAGUAAGUGCUUCAAAGCAAGUGAGAGCCACUCGAGAAGUCGGAGAUCCAACCACCAGAUUCGCAUUCAGAAAGGAUGUAGGCGUGGAACCUCCCUAUGAGGAUGUACACCAGCCGAGCCUUUAGAUUACAGAACAAGAGGAUGUAAGCACUGAGCUGAACCUCUGAGGAUAAUACAUUAUGGAUCAUAGAGUCCCACCCAUAUCUUCACCUGUCGUUAGACUUGCACGAGUAGUUUUUG
rnacentral:misc_RNA from 1 species